GAUGAACGCUGGCGGCGUGCCUAAUACAUGCAAGUCGAGCGAACGGACGAGAAGCUUGCUUCUCUGAUGUUAGCGGCGGACGGGUGAGUAACACGUGGAUAACCUACCUAUAAGACUGGGAUAACUUCGGGAAACCGGAGCUAAUACCGGAUAAUAUUUUGAACCGCAUGGUUCAAAAGUGAAAGACGUUCUUGCUGUCACUUAUAGAUGGAUCCGCGCUGCAUUAGCUAGUUGGUAAGGUAACGGCUUACCAAGGCAACGAUGCAUAGCCGACCUGAGAGGGUGAUCGGCCACACUGGAACUGAGACACGGUCCAGACUCCUACGGGAGGCAGCAGUAGGGAAUCUUCCGCAAUGGGCGAAAGCCUGACGGGGCAACGCCGCGUGAGUGAUGAAGGUCUUCGGAUCGUAAAACUCUGUUAUUAGGGAAGAACAUAUGUGUAAGUAUCUGUGCACAUCUUGACGGUACCUAAUCAGAAAGCCACGGCUAACUACGUG
rnacentral:rRNA from 1 species